rnacentral:rRNA from 1 species
UACGUAGGGUGCAAGCGUUGUCCGGAAUUAUUGGGCGUAAAGAGCUCGUAGGCGGUUUGUCGCGUCUGCUGGGAAAUCCCAGGGCUUAACCCUGGGCCUGCAGUGGGUACGGGCCAACUAGAGUGCGGUAGGGGAGAUCGGAAUUCCUGGUGUAGCGGUGAAAUGCGCAGAUAUCGGGAGGAACACCGGUGGCGAAGGCGGUUCUCUGGGCCUGUACUGACGCUGAGGAGCGAAAGCGUGGGGAGCGAACGGG